UGCAUUUGCCCUAGAACUGACUGAUGGGUUGCAGAACACCGGGUGUCCUACUGGGAGGCAUAGAGUUUAAAGGGUACUGCAGCCAAGUUUGUAUUAUUAGUUUCUCAUUUGCAAAGGAAUGGGACUAACUCUGAUAAUGAUAAGGAAAACAGCUCAGUUCUUAUUACUCUUGCAGUUGCAGAUACAAAAUAAGUUAAAAGAGAUUGAACUUCAGGGAUAUUUAAAAAAAGUAAUACUGCUGUUAUGACUGUUAUGUAAUAUAUGGAAACUUUUUGAAUGACCACAUUUAAAAAAAUGAUUGUUUUUUUCAAGAAGUGAGACUGAGGAAAAAUAAAAUGUGGUCUUUUUAAGAACCUACCGUGAUGAUUUGUUUUAACUAACUUUGAGUUGGUGAGGAGAGACUUUCUCAAAUGCCCAUCUCUGCAAGGCAUUUAUUGACACGUGCCCAGAAGUGUCUGUUGGCAGGCUGAGUUGGAGUUUCUCAAGUGGUUCUAAUGUUUGACAUUUUAAAAUUCCUGCUCAGUGAAGUGGCACACCUGUUCUCAAAUGUGGCCCUCCUCAGCUGAACCUUGGGAUGUGGGGCUUAUUUUCCUAAAAUGGCUUUACAUGCUUGAGUUGAUUUUAAACGUAUCCAGCCUUUGAAAGUGCUUUCAGCAGGAAGUUUGUAAUAGGCCUUCUAUGAACAAUUUUGAGACGAACAAAUGCCAGCUCAUACCAGGUAAUCAUUUUAAUGAAUUUGGCAUAUAUCCUUUAAAAAUUAUAUUUAAAAGUGAUCAGUUCAUUAGUGAAUAGUUUCAUGCUGUGAUGCAAUUUGUUUUGUUGGACAACCUUACAAUCAGGGGAGCUAGAAGGAGCUAUGUAAUGGGAACAUACAAGAUGGCCUGAAACUAAGUAAUAGACUACCCUGAGCAGCCAGACUUACCAUUUAGUUGUCCUAAAUUAAGUCUUCUUUCUGUCUGAGAGAAAUCAGUGAAUUUCAGCGGUCAGUUCUUAAAAGAAAUGCUUAAAAUAAUUAAUUCUACCUACCACAUAUUAUGAAGUUUCUUGGAAAUUAGGUAGUGGAGUUUAGACUUGAUACAGUGACAGGCUGGGGAGGUUUUUGAACACGUGAAGGUGAUGUGUUUAAGAAGAAUCUGUACAGCAAUAAGAUGUAGAGAUGGGUCACUUGGCUGGUGGGAAAUAAGUGCUAGGCACUGGGGAUGCAAAGAUGAAUGGUGUGUAUUUGUUACCCUUUAAAAUCUCCCACCUUAGGAGGAUAGGUAGGUAGACAAAUCCUAGGGAUAGAGGUACAGGUGUGGGCACAGAGAGGGAAUGAUUAGCUCUGCUGGAGUCUAGGACCAUGAAGGCUUUAGUCAUGACAGGGUAUGGUUAGGACUCAGAAUCCUCCAGCUGAUCACCAGCUCCCCCGAACACCAGUUAACCUCAGAGGUUUAAGUCACAGAAGCACAGAAGUCAUUCCAGGAAAAUACCUACUUUAUUAUCAGUUAAGGAAUUGGUCCCAAUUUCUAUGUGGUUUCCUAUUCUGAACCACUAGCCCAUAAUUCCUAGACCAGAGGCAGCUCAGUGGUCUCUUUUGUUGACCUUUUCCAUGUAGGUCCAUAAAGUAAUCUGGGCACUCUUGGUCUGACAGCAAUAGGAGACCUGGAAUGAGGAUCCCACAGAAAAGAAAGCCCUUUGCCCCAGUGGCUAAAGAAACAAAGAAAGCUAAGCAGGCUACUCCAUAUAUAUUUUCCCCUGUCCUCUAUGUUGGAGUUUGAAAGCCUUUCAAAGGGUGGGUUUCCUCUUGAACAGGAGGCAGUCCUAGGGUUGUAUAUUCACCAUAUGGAAAGAAAGAAAAACCAUGUGAUGACACAUCCACGUGUUUUAUGUCAUCGAGUUUUGGGGUGAUUUUUUAAUGCAACAGUAGAUAACUGGGAACUGUAGUUUGCAAUGACAGUGUAAUUCUAAAAUAAUUAUUGUUAAUAGUCUAGGUUUGUUCCUAGAACCCCUCUAUCUAAUAUGUUUUAUGCAUACUACUGUUUCCAAAACUUAACUGCUAAGGUAGUGUUAUAAAGCAAAAUAAAGGACUUUGUGUGAUUAUUCUCACCUUAAGAAAAACUUAACACUGGGUUUAAUACCAAAAGGUGGUAGGAAAAAAGCAUAUUACCAGGAUAAAAUGCAUUAUGCAGAAAGGAAGGUGGAGUUGAAAGAUCAUCUGACCCUAUCUGGGCGAACUCUAUAUCGAGUCAUUGAAUCCUGCAGUGGGUGUGGAUAGAAAGUGAGGGUGCAGUUUGCAGAAUGCCUGAACGUCUUGCCUUAUCUUUUUCUACGGCAGUGA
rnacentral:lncRNA from 1 species